rnacentral:rRNA from 1 species
AUUGAACGCUGGCGGCAUGCCUUACACAUGCAAGUCGAACGGCAGCGGGCCCUCGGGUGCCGGCGAGUGGCGAACGGGUGAGUAAUGCAUCGGAACGUGCCAUUGAGUGGGGGAUAACGUAGCGAAAGUUGCGCUAAUACCGCAUAUUCUGUGAGCAGGAAAGCAGGGGGACCGCAAGGCCUUGCGCUCUUUGAGCGGCCGAUAUCAGAUUAGCUAGUUGGUGAGGUAAAGGCUUACCAAGGCGACGAUCUGUAGCGGGUCUGAGAGGAUGAUCCGCCACACUGGAACUGAGACACGGUCCAGACUCCUACGGGAGGCAGCAGUGGGGAAUUUUGGACAAUGGGGGCAACCCUGAUCCAGCCAUGCCGCGUGAGUGAAGAAGGCCUUC